rnacentral:lncRNA from 1 species
UACAACAUAAAAAUAGAAAAACUACAUUAAACAUAUGUAAGAUUACCAUUUUUCACUAAAACAAAGACGGUUUAUCUCCAUAAUGUAAAAUUACUAUUUUGCAAAAAAAACAUUAUAUAUAAUUUCGAAAAUAAUAAAUAAUAUGUAAACAUACAACAUAAAAAAAAUGGAAAUACUACAUUAAACAUAUGUAAGAUUACCAUUUUAUAUUUAAGAAUAACAAUAAUAUGUAAACAUACAACAUAAAAAAAUGGAAAAACUACAUUAAAUAUAUGUAAGAUUUCCAUUUUUCACUAAAAAAAACGGCUUAUCUCCAUAAUGUAACAUUACCAUUUUAUAAAAAAAUAAAAAAAACAUAAAUAUAACUAUUUGACUAUUUGUCCAAGUUCUUCUAUUAAAUAUUGUCG